rnacentral:rRNA from 1 species
AUGAAGAAUAAUUAGUGGCAGACGGGUGAGUAAUGCAUAGGAAUCUACCUAGUAGUAUGGGAUAGCCACUAGAAAUGGUGGGUAAUACUGUAUAAUCCCUGCGGGGGAAAGAUUUAUCGCUAUUAGAUGAGCCUAUGUUAGAUUAGCUAGUUGGUAGGGUAAAGGCCUACCAAGGCGAUGAUCUAUAGCUGGUCUGAGAGGAUGAUCAGCCACACUGGAACUGAGAUACGGUCCAGACUCCUACGGGAGGCAGCAGUGGGGAAUAUUGGACAAUGGGCGCAAGCCUGAUCCAGCUAUGCCGCGUGAGUGAGGAAGGCCUUAGGGUUGUAAAACUCUUUCAGUAGGGAAGAUAAUGACGGUACCUACAGAAGAAGUCCCGGCAAACUCCGUGCCAGCAGCCGCGGUAAUACGGAGGGGGCAAGCGUUGUUCGGAAUUAUUGGGCGUAAAGGGCAUGUAGGCG